AAUGAUUUCCCUUCAGGUUGUGCAAGCAGGAAAGUUUAAAAUCACAUAAGAAUGACUUGAGGGAAAAGAACACCCCUUUCUGCUCCCGGUAAACACAAUCAGCUUUGCUGGUCUGGGUUUUUUAAUGAUCUGCAUUUACAGGAGUAUCCAUGACCCAGAGAGAGUAUCAGUGUCAAGAAUCUGCCAGUGAGAAAGUGAUUUGAAGCAGCUCUGGAGUUCAAAUGGCCACGGGUGCAAGUGCCUGCUCUGGUGUGCUUUGCCUCUGGAAAGAGGCCAAGUCUUUGAGAAUCUUUGCUGCAUCAGCCAUGCUACAUCCUGAGGACUUGGAGCUUUUCCCAGGUGAGGCCAUUAAUGCCUCCACCCAUAGGCUUAACCCUGCCCUGUUUCUGAGCCAACUCUAAAGUGACUAACAUUGGAAGCCAUAUGAUGAGAUAGUAGUGUCACGAGAUAGAAGAAAAUGGGAUCUCUAAGUCACUGGAUGUAGGAGGAUUCCCACUGACUUGACUUUGGUGAGUUCCCUGAGCCAAGCACUCCGCAGCUCCAUCGCAGCGUGGGCCUCUUGGAAAUUCGGUGCUAGUUCUCAAGGCCUCCUACCUGCUGAACCUUAGUCUUCAUUGCUGAAAUAAGAGCUGUCCUGCAAACAGCGUUUGGCGCUCGCUUCCUGGCCUCCGGCUGGUGGAGCAAGGACGUUUCCAGCACAUAAGAUUCCCCACUCUGUUAAAAAAAAAAAUGUGUUUAUACUUGGUCCCCUCUGAAGGCGGACGACACCCAUACUUUUGUCCCAGCCCAAUUUGUUGGCUGGGUUUUUUCUCAUCCUUUAAAUCCCGGGAAGCAGGGAACCUGCCCUCUGGCGCCAUCUACCGGCACUGUUUUUCGAGUCCAAGGAGCCCCCUGCGGAGUUGGGAUGUGUUUAGUAAUUGAUUGGAUGAAUCCUGCCACUUCGUUAGUAGAUUCUUAUUUUCUUCACGGACUCUUUGCCAAUUAGUAAAGAGAUUAUAUAGCAAAUAUAUUAUCUUACUUUAAAGAGACCAGAGUCUCCUAUCUCUCGCUUCCCCCACCCCAUCAGUUGUGGCAUUCCUUCAUCUUUAAUUUCUUCCUUCGAAAAAUAUUUAUUUUGUUAUUGUAUAGAGAUCAGGGCAUGGGCCACACAGCUGCACACCUGAGCAAACAGAGGGGCUGACUGAUUUGCUGUUGUAAUGAAAAACAUUAGUUUUGGGUUCAUUACUGUGAUUCCACAAUGGGCACCAAAUCCCUCUUAAGACCCACCGAAGAAGUCUUCAAAGGGACAUGGUUUCAGGUCUGUGCCUGGUGAGAGUGCUGCCUCUUCGAAUCUUUGCACAGAAGUAACCUACGGUUGAAGACUCAGACCUGUCAGAUCAAAACCAACCCUGGCCUCCAGACCUUGAAACAAGUCAAAACAGUGAACCUUACUCAUCCAUUUUCAAAAUAUGGCCUGUUUUCUUUACAAAAUGCAGCAAAGCCUCUCAGAUGGGCGCUGGCUGCAAUAUUUGAUAUAUUAGGGAGAAUCUUGACUCCUUCCAGGUUUCUGCCCAUCUGUUUUAAAUCCAAAUGGCUUGGCAGAGGAUGGUUUUUAGUUAUGUAUUUUUUUCAUUUCAAAUGGAAUUUAAAACAGCAGGGGCAGAAAGCCCAGAUAUGGAUGAGAGAGAAAAUAAAAAGGCUCCUGGAAUUCCCCAUUCGCCUUCUACAUGAAGGAAAAAAUAUCGGCAUUUGUUGUAAACCUACUAUGUGUCAAUGUAUCACUAGGGAGUGUGAUGUUGCUGAGCCGUUGGAAUUUUAUAAAAUUUUAAAUGUUUUUCAUUUUCUUCUUCAGAGGUGGUCUGAUUUCAUGAUCAAGAGCUUGAACUUAAAGUCAAAUCCUGCUCCUGCCUCCUGCAGUCAUGGGGCCUUAGCUAUUCUCUGUAAUGACUCUAGGUCUCAGUUUCCUUGCCUGAGAACAGGCCUGUGAUAAUUACCUUGAUGGGCUAUUGUCAGUUUUAAAUAAGGUAGUGCGGAGGCAACUACCACAGGAAUGGUUCUGCCUUAAGAAUGAACUACGUGUGCAUGUGUCUUUAUAGCAGCAUGAUUUAUAGUCCUUUGGGUAUAUACCCAGUAAUGGGAUGGCUGGGUCAAAUGGUAUUUCUAAUUCUAGAUCCCUGAGGAAUCGCCACACUGACUUCCACAAUGGUUCAACUAGUUUACAGUCCCACCAACAGUGUAAAAGUGUUCCUAUUUCUCCACAUCCUCUCCAGCACCUGUUGUUUCCUGACUUUUUAAUGAUUGCCAUUCUAACUGGUGUGAGAUGAUAUCUCAUUGUGGUUUUGAUUUGCAUUUCUCUGAUGGCCAGUGAUGGUGAGCAUUUUUUCAUGUGUUUUUUGGCUGCAUAAAUGUCUUCUUUUGAGAAGUGUCUGUUCAUGUCCUUUGCCCACCUUUUGAUGGGGUUGUUUGUUUUUUUCUUGUAAAUUUGUUUGAGUUCAUUGUAGAUUCUGGAUAUUAGCCCUUUGUCAGAUGAGUAGGUUGCGAAAAUUUUCUCCCAUUUUGUAGGUUGCCUGUUCACUCUGAUGGUAGUUUCUUUUGCUGUGCAGUUUAUUGCGGCACUAUUCACAAUAGCAAAGACUUGGAACCAACCCAAAUGUCCAACAAUGAUAGACUGGAUUAAGAAAAUGUGGCACAUAUACACCAUGGAAUACUAUGCAGCCAUAAAAAAUGAUGA
rnacentral:lncRNA from 1 species